rnacentral:misc_RNA from 1 species
GUAUUUUGAAUUAAGUAUUCAUAAUAGUUUUUCAGACAAAGUGGUUCAAGGUUAUAGGUUGGUGUAGGUGUUUCUCCGAAAAGAAACACAACAUUGCACACAAGGUGGAUAUGGAUUGAAAAAGUGCCAUAAAACACUUAUUGUGAAUGAUCCUUCCGCAGGUUCACCUACGGAAA